rnacentral:rRNA from 1 species
UACGUAGGGGGCAAGCGUUGUCCGGAUUCAUUGGGCGUAAAGAGCGUGUAGGCGGCCAGGUAGGUCGGUUGUGAAAACUGGAGGCUCAACCUUCAGAGGUCGACCGAAACCAUCUGGCUAGAGUCCGGGAGAGGAGGAGUGGAAUUCCUGGGUGUAGCGGUGAAAUGCGCAGAUAUCAGGAAGAACACCCGUGGCGAAAGCGGCUCUCUGGAACGGUACUGACGCUGAGACGCGAAAGCGUGGGGAGCGAACAGG